CAAAAUUCGAACAGGACCUGACAGAUUGUAUGCAGGAAGGACACUCCCAGUGGCUGUGUGGCCGGAAUAAGGGAAUCGCCGACUAAAGGAUGAGAGGGAAAGCAGAUAAGAGAACUUCAGAAUUCUUCUACUCAGGCAAUCCAAUGCCUUUCCAGAGAAGUAAGUGGCAAAGUUAGUUAGCCAGUGGUACUUGGCAGUAGUGUAUGGAAAAGAACAACCCUACUCCACUGAUUCUGACACCUUCUGGGAAAAUAUCAACAAUGAGACAUUGGCUACUGCGUUUCUUUUGAAGACACUGACCUGGAGUUACACGCUGACUUCAGUUCUUUGAAGGAAUGGGACCUGCUCUCGGGGUCUCAUGACUGGCCACUAUUCAAUAUACCAAGGACGUGGCCGGGAUGACUAGCACACCUUCAGGGUUCUGGGAUUUCAUGGCUCUGAAGGUGGGCGAACUUGAAGUCGGUGCCUCCGCAGGAAACUGGUGUGUUGUGGGUGUACACAGAAAAUCGAAAGCAACAAGCUGGCUGCUGGCUGUGUGCCUAGAGACUCAAGUUCUUUGGGCACAGACCUCGGAAAAAACAACGCAACAUUUAACAGCAUAAAUCAGCGAGUUGUUUGUUAUGUCUCCCCUCUUGCUGUGAAACAGGGACACCUCUUUUUCCCUUAUCAGGGAGAGAAAGAGCCUGUGGUAUGUAAAAUUACUGGGUGAACGAGUAGUCUUUGGGGUACUGCAAGUCUGUGUCUUUAUUGAUGAUUUGUUGCACGCUUAAGUGCUCGGUAGGGGGCACCGAUGCUUUUUUUGCUGGAGGGGGAGGAGGG